rnacentral:lncRNA from 9 species
GUCAAAACCUGAAAUGAGAAAUAACCUCUCCAUUCCCCACAGAUGUGCAGAGAAUGCAUCUUCUGAGCUCAGCCUACAGUUACACCCGAGUUUUUUUGGCUCUCGAUGGACAUGCAAAGUCCCAUAUUUCCAAAUCCCUCUAAUUGUGUCGUCUCGGAGUUUACAUUAAACCUCCAAUCGAAGUGAUUAAUCCACACUGUAACACGCUGAAAGGCAAAUAUCAAGGAAAGGACAUGUAUUGAAUAAUAUAUGUAUAUACAUUACAUAUAUUUUACAAACAUAUAUUCUACGAGUGCCUCAAGCAAUUAAGUCUCAAUCAGAUCAUUUGCUCAUGAUUAGUUUAGUAUUCAGCAGUGCCUAUUUGUCUGACAAGACAUUUUCUUAUUAUAUAAGUAUCUACAUAAUAGCCUCGGUUUUCCUCUUAGCUUACGAAACCUAAAGAUUUAAUAUCUGGUUCUUUACCCCCAAAAAAGAAAAUAAAAGCUCCUAAUCUAGAAGACUGGGGAUCUUCUGAGAUUUCCUGGGAAACCUCAUUGCCAGUGGCACUGGUGGACUGCUGGUAGGGAAGUUUGGUUAUGUAUGAAGUCUAAUUAGUAUGAUUUAGCAAAUGAAGACUGUCCACAAUUAAUUUCAUCAAAAAUAGAACUGGACUGAAGCUACAUCCUUCUGCUGUAAACCUAACAGGUACAAUUUAGUUUCAGCAAACAACACCAUCUGUCUCAGGUCAACGGUGCCACUUUGAAUUUUUGUCAGUUUUAUAGUUUUUAUUUCAUUUCACAUCUUGCUUUGACUUCAGGUAUCAAUGAGGUUUAUCCUCAUAGUUUACAUCAAAUAUGAUAUCCGCUCCUAUACGUAACGUUGUCAAAGAAACCUUAAGUCACAACUCUGAGGUUGACCUUUUUUUUUUUUAAAGGGUUCCGUUAAAUACCCGAGUCUGAGAAACACAACUGCUAAGUGGAACUUCCCCGCUCACAGCAACGCUGGAUCCUUAACCCACUGAGCAAGGCCAGGGAUCGAACCCACGUCCUCAUGGAUCCUAGUGGGAUUCGUUACCACUGAGCCACGACAGGAACUCCACCCAGAUGUAUGUUCAUUGACUGAAAGGAACAGUUUGAACAUACAAAAUCUGUCUCUUCGGGAAGCGUGAGAAAGUUAAAUGUGUUUCAUCAAGGAGUUGUGGGGAUGGUGGAGAGUCCAGAUGAGGGGGUAUGGGGAGCCGACCCGUGCCGAAGUCUGCGUCCCGCCUCAAAUGCCGGGUUCUCAAACUCAGCACGUGCGGAACCACCUGGAGUUAUUUCAUAUUCAGGCUCCCAAAUUUUCUCCCAAAGACUAUUUCACUCAGUAGUUCUCAAGUGAAGCCCAAGAAUGCCCACGGCCAGCAAACAGCUCAGAAUGUUGUGCUCUGAUGACCCACCCACCAUUUUUUAAGAAACAUGCCUAGUGGUUCCUGAUUAGUCAUGGCUUCAUUCCAUCCUUUACCUUAGACCCCAGAGGGUCUUUCAUAAAGUCCAAGGUUAUUUUCUUUACACGAACUCCCCACAGUAAGAGGUCAGUUGCAAGAAGAGGGGCCUCUUCCACCUCAGUGUUCAUUGAUACUAUAAAUCCAAACUGCACUUGUUUGCAGAACAUUCUAGAAUACGGCAUAGCAGUGCCUGGGCUCUUUUGUUUGUAACCAAUUAGCAGUAACUCGAGAUACAACUGCCAGAUAAGGGCACUUCCAGUUGAAAAACAAGAUGUGACUAAGAUUCAUUGUCUAUCAAUCAAGCUAAUGUUCAGAAAGCUUCAAAUGACAUAAACAAUGUCAGUAGCCUUACAUGUAGUGGCUUCCUGAAAUCUCCACUGAGGGUUCAAACCUACAUGCAAAAGCUCUUGCUUCACUGCCUAGAAAGCAGAUGAAUAACUUCAUUUUAGACAAAAAUAAUUAGCCCAGCACAGGCUCAAUGGUCAGGAUAGAAUCUGUACUACUGAAUACAAGUCUCAGUGCCAGGCACCACACCUCGUAUCUCUAGAAAAGACUCUAAAAACCCAGUCACCUCAGAUUCAGACCAGUUCCCAAGCCAGUCCUGUGGUUCUCCCCAGAUAGGUCUGCACAAGCCACACCGCCGUCUCCGCAGCCUACUGCCCAUCAAGCCAUCGCGCACUUAGAAACAAAAGCUUUUUCUUGCAAGGAGAUGUUUAGCCCUGGAAGAUCACAGGACCUGGCCUCACCUGGUAGCGGAAAGCUCCAGGGCAGGGAGCUCUGGUCCCAGCUCAGCUCCCAAUGUUGACGUGACCGAAGGGCGCUUGGAAUCACCGCCCAGUUUCCUCCCUGUGAACCUGGGAUGACAGCACACCUGACUUUACCAAGGAACCAGGACAUGGAGCGAACCGAGCCUCGGUGGCCUUUUCCCGUUCAAGCUGCGUGUGGAUGUCCCCACGCACCCUCGGACUCUGCCAAGGCUUGUUUGUUUCAGCUGUCGAUGGCUUGUUUCUUCUCAGCUUCAGUGCCCUCUCUUCAGAUCACGGUGGGUACCCUUGCUGCCUCGCGGGCUUCUGUCUCUGUUGGUGAACCCCAACCAAGCUUUGUGACAAGCAUCUCUCCCGACUCCCAGGUCACCCCCCACCCCUGUGCCCUGGGCCUGGCUCAUGCCCCGGGCACAACCAUGCUUCUCCCCGCACCUCUGGACAAGCCUGCCAGCCCACCAGCUCUUGGCGUGGCUGCAGUGGCUCUUGCCCAGGAUAAAGGGCACCCCUCUCCCCGGCUCCCCCCAUUCCUCACCGUGCAGCCCACACCCUGUAACAACAGCCCUUGUGUGUCAUAACUAGGUCAUGACCCUGCUCAGGCCACUUGUCGCCUCCCCGUUUCUUUCAUAUCCCUAGUGCUCUGUAUGUAAGACAGUUCGAUAUAUGCCUCCCCCCAAUAGCAAGGAUACAAGAGGCCUGUCAUUCUCCAAUGGUUCAGUUUGUAAAUGUCAGUUAAGAAAGAUGAGGAGUUCCCCUGUGGCUUAGGGGGUUAAGAACCUGACUAGUAUUCAUGAGGAUGUGGGUUCAAUUCCUGGCCUCGCUCAGUGGGUUAAGGAUCCAGUGUUGCUGUGAGCUGUGGCGUAGGCCACAGAUGCAGCUCGGAUCAGGCACUGCUGUGGCUGUGGUGUAGGCUGGCGGCUACAGCCCCGAUUCAACCCCUAGCCUGGGAACUUCCAUAUGCCAAGAGCAUGGCCUGAAAAAAGGAAAAAAAAAAAAAAAAAGAUGAGAUGAGAAAAGAUGCAAGGUCAGGAGUCCUACGGUAUCCUGCAGACUCUGACUUUCCCUCUGCCCUCGAGGAUCUACUAAAUAUUCACCUCCACAGUUGUUUUCCG